UCUUCCAAAUUUUCAAAAUCGAAUCGCAUUCUUGACCAUACUAACUUUUAUCAUCACCAUCUUAAGUGCAUUCAUCUCCUACUUCACAUUUCAAGUUUCAACUAUACUCUCAAUCUCAAAAAAAACCAUGUAGCCUAUCAACAUCAGCGUGGUUGUAAGUAAAUCGAUUCCCUUCAAUAAAAAGAGAGUAAAAGUUAUCAAUCAGAUUAAACAGCAACAUCGUGCUAGAAGUAUUCUCUAGCAGAAAUUUAAAAAAAAAAAAAAAGCUAUAAGUUUGUCUGAAUAAACAAUAUAAUGUGAAAUCCUAGUCCAAGAUAGUUAUUCAAUUUUCUCUUAAAAUCCAACGACCAAAACAUAAAAUGUGCAAAUGCAGCACCCUCCUAUGCUUCUAUAAUCCAUUAUAUUCAAACAAAGAACUAGAAUUAAAGUAGGAAACUUAAGGGUUAUGAAGCACAUAUAUCAGACACGACAUAGGCACGUUGACACUGACAAUAAUUUGAGCAAAUUACAUUAUUCAACAUAACCAUAUGUGUCGGCGUGUGUGUGACACCAGAACACAUGUUUAAUCCGAGUAGUAUCUGUGCUUUAUAGCUAAAGGGUCGUGGAGUAUAUGAUGAAAAAAACGCACCAGAGGUUUUAUUUCAAACGCCAAUCCAUAUGAAAGCUAAAAAUUCAAUCUUGUUUCUACAAUUCAAUAAAAGAAACAAACUUUGUAAACCCCAAAACAAGAUUUAUCAUCAUCGAGAAAUUUCCAUGUUUUUUGUUGAACAUGGAU
rnacentral:lncRNA from 1 species